AGCACUCCCAGGCUACAUCCUACCCCAGUCACUCCCCGCUGGCCAGAGGUGCCGACAGCCAACGCAUGCUACACAAGCCCGUCUGUGCAUUCCACGAGGUAUGGAAACUCCAGUGACAUGUACACCCCUCUGACCACGCGCAGGAAUUCUGAGUACGAGCACAUGCAACACUUUCCUGGCUUUGCUUACAUCAACGGAGAGGCCUCCACUGGAUGGGCUAAGUGACUGCUUUCAUAGAAAUCCAUAUUUAAUAUUAAUAAUUAAUAAUAAUAAUAAAUCCAGUACCCACCCUCCAGAAGACUUUAUCUCAAUACAUCAUAACUUGCGGGCUGAUCCUAAACAUCCAUUUGCCUAAUGAACAAGAGGAUGUUCACCAUGGAAUGAACACAUUUUAGUUCAGAAAGAGGACCCACUACAAGUCAGUGGGAUUGGGUCCCAUAGCCAAGCCAGACUCGACUGGUUCUAUAGAGCACUAUCUUGGGCAGGCCGUUCUGUGCCUUCCUCCUCUGCUCCAUGACCUUCAUGGCAACCACUCCCUGUAGGGUACUUAUUUUCUUGUUGACAAAGCUCUUUAGUCUUGAAGGAUGGAUACUGGAGCCAGAAUCUGGUCUGUGUUCUUGGAUGGGCACAUGAUUUACCAAGAGCAUUCACCUGUCUGUCACGUCACUGUACAGUUACCAGCCCUCAGACAUGUUCUCCAUAUCCCUACUUCCUGGUGACGUCAUUACUACUUCCUGAAGUCCCCGGAAAUUCCUGCAAAUGCUAAGCUCCCCUAAGUUCCGCUUGCACCUGCCAUAGUCCCUUCAUGGCCUGGACUGUAAGCACUGUUUUUGAGGGACCGAAGAGGCCUGUUAUAUAUUGCCUUUAGUUGAUUAAU
rnacentral:lncRNA from 1 species